UACGUAGGGUGCAAGCGUUGUUCGGAUUUAUUGGGCGUAAAGAGCUCGUAGGCGGCUUGUCGCGUCGUUCGUGAAAACCUGCAGCUCAACUGCAGGCUUGCGGUCGAUACGGGCAGGCUAGAGUUCGGUAGGGGAGACUGGAAUUCCUGGUGUAGCGGUGAAAUGCGUAGAUAUCAGGAGGAACACCGGUGGUGUAGACGGCUUUCUGGACCGUAACUGACGCUGAGACACGAAAGCGUGGGUAGCAAACAGG
rnacentral:rRNA from 1 species